rnacentral:siRNA from 1 species
CAAUCAGAGCGCUCCGGACUUCGC